UAUACAGCCCUCGGACAAGCAGACGGUGCCAGAUUUUCGAAAACAUUUGUGAGUAGUUAUCCAGCGUUCCUACCUGACUGAUCUUGUUCUCUGACAUUGCCUUGCCUCAUGGAUUUUGCCCUUCCUGCCUGCUCCUUGUCUGACGGAUUGGAUUUCGACUCUUGUUUUCUGCCUCUGGUUUUCUGUCUCUGCCUGCCCCUUGUCUGAUGCCUCUAGCCCUGGUAUUUGACUGUGUUUCUGUCCCUGGAUUUACGCCACAGCCAAGCCACUGGUUUAUUCAGCCUGAGUCCGCCUGGCUUUCAAGUCCACCUGGAAUUAUUGUCAAGAGGACAAUCACAGCUCUCUGUGUUCCUGUCACAGCUUCAGCUGAUUCCCCAGAGGAUUUGGAUCUGUCGGCAAUACGACUUCAGUCUGUUGGAUUCUUCCUCAUUAACUGUCUGGAUCACAUCCUCUUCUGGAUUCUGCACCUCAUUCCCAGACUGAGAAGUGAUUCGUGGAAGCUGCUGUUCUCCUGCUUUCUGAUCCUAAAUUCCGGUAUGAGGGAAAUAAUUUCUAUGCUGUGCUCCAUGACCUCCACACCAGCGCCCUCACAGCCAGUUUUCCCCAGAGUUCCUGAUCUUUCCGCUGUGGUAAGAGAGCCUAGACUCAUGCCUCCUGAGCUGUUUAAGGGAGAUCCUGACCAGUGCUGUGUUUUUCUUACUCGGUGUGAGAUUCAUUUUGAGCUUCAGCCUUCUUCGUUCCCUUCUGAGCGCUCUAAGGUGGUGUUUAUUUCCCUGCUAUCUGGAAAGGCUAAGCAAUGGGGCACUGCGGAGUGGCAAAAUGGUUCGGUCGCGUGUGCUUCUUAUGCUGCAUUCUGCAAGGAGCUCAUCAGGGUUUUUGACCCAGUUCUUCCCAGUCAUGAAGCUGCCAGAGGUUUACUCUCCAUAAAACAGGGAGAGAGAAGUGUCACAACAUAUAUCAUUGACUUUCAUUUGUUGGCAGCUGACAGUUUUUGGAAUGAACAUGCUCAAAUGGAUGCUUUCAUGCAAGGUCUUAAUGAGAACAUAAAGGAUGAACUGGGAACCCGGGACUACCCUGCCUCCCUUCACCAACUUGAGGACCUGGCAACCUGAAUUGAUUUGCGGCUCACAGAAAGGAGGAGGGAGAGGUGUCAUAAGGAGGUUAAACCUUCCUCAGCUGACAGUCCUGUUCCCCACCUAGAACCCAAGUGUCUUCCACCCCCUUCUGAACACCGAUACAAUCAUGAGCCCUUGCAGUUGGGUCGAUCAAAGAUGUAUUUGGGGGAGCGCGAUUGGCAAAGGAAAAACAACUUGUGCUUUUAUUGUGAUUGACAGGGUCAUGUUGCCUUCAAGUGUCUGUUAAAAGCCCAAGCUCAGUAGAGGUGAGGAGAACUCUACUGAGCUGUAGCCAACUGUCUGUCUCCUCAUGCUCAUUUCCUGCGACCAUUCAAGUGUCUUCUACUUCUCAUCAGGUGUCAGUGUUCAUUGACUCAGGGGCGGACACAGAAUUUAUGGAUGAGUCGUUCGCCAGGGACCAUGACAUCAAGCUCCUUCCCACGUCUGACACCCGUAAUGUCCUGGCUUUGGAUGGUUAUAGCAUCAAUAGUUCACACUACAAAACAGAGGGGCCUCCUGGCUACAAAAGCACAACCCCCACAUUGACUGGCAAGCAAAGAGAUUUUGGGCUGGGCUAAGUCCUGCUCGGCUACGUGUCUGUCUUCUGCCACCACAGAUGACAUUCCUGAAAAUGACAUUGAGGAGACAUACCCCGAUUUGUCUAAAGUGCCUUGCGAAUAUCAUGCUUAAGGUUUUCAGCAAAUCCAGAGCCAUGGCACUUCCACCUCACAGACCCUAUGACUGUGCCAUUGAGCUCCUACCAGGCACAUCUCCCCCUAGGGAUCAGGAUGUUGGAGGUGUAGGCAUGCACAGCAAAUCGUUGGAGAGUCCCUGCUACAAGCUACCAGGUGGGACAGAAGGUUUGGCUGUCCACCAAGGACCUACUUCUGAUUGACUCCCGUAAGCUGGCACCUCGUUUUGUGGGACCUUUUCCCAUAUCCAAGAUCAUCAACCUUGUGGCUGUUCAUUUACAUCUGCCUCGCGCCAUGAGAGUUCACCCUACCUUCCACAUGUCCCGGAUCAAGCCCUAUGUGGUGUCCCGGUCUACACUGUCCGGCGCAUCAUCCGGUCCAGACGGCAGGGACGUGGCAUACAUUACCUGGUGGACUGGGAGGGCUAUGGUCCUGAGGAGAGGUCCUGGAUUCCUACACGAUUCAUUGUGGACAAAACCCUCAUCUGGGAUUUCCACCGCCUCCUUCCUGAUCAGCCUCGGGGUCCGUCUGGAGCCGGACCUUGAGGGGGGGGUACUGUUAUGAUUCUGGCCCGUCUGCCUGCUCUGCUCUCACUCAUGCAAUCGACUCUUCUGCUUCACCUGUCUGCUGCUGCGCAAUCACUGUCAUGCCACACACCUGUGGAGCUGCAGUUAUAUACAACCCUCUGACAGGCAGAUGGUGCCAGAUUUUCUAAAACAUUUGUGAGUAGUUAUCCAGCGUUCCUUCCUGACUGAUGCUCUCCAGCUUUCUGAUCCUGAGUUACUGAAUAAACCUUUUUAACUUUUCA